rnacentral:rRNA from 1 species
CACCGCGGUUAUACGAGGGACCCAAGUUGACAGCCGCCGGCGUAAAGAGUGGUUAAGAUGCCCCAAACCUAAAGUCGAACAGUCCCAUUGCUGUUAUAAGCUUAUGAAGACAUGAAGCCCGACAACGAAAGUGACUUUAAUCCCUCUGAUUCCACGAAAGCUAGGGCA